UACGUAGGGGGCGAGCGUUGUCCGGAGUUACUGGGCGUAAAGCGCUUGUAGGCGGUCCACCAAGUUUGGGGUGACAGUUGCCGACUUAAUCGGCAAAGUGCCUCAAAGACUGGCGGACUUGAGGGCCACAGAGGGACAUGGAACUCCAGGUGUAGUGGGUGAAAUGCGUAGAUAUCUGGAAGAACACCAAAGGCGAAGGCAGUGUCCUGGGUGGUCGCUGACGCUGAGAGGCGAAAGCCAGGGGAGCGAACGGG
rnacentral:rRNA from 1 species